CGCUCGGGACAGGUGCAUGUGACGGGAGAACGUAACGAGGCGCCCUGAACAAUGCGCUCGUGCUUUUGUCUACGCGGUUUCAAAGUGGCACGAAUGCGCGAGCGCAGGCGGCUCAGGGCCUGGAAGGUCAUCCGCCGUAUUGCAUGUCAACAUGACGCUAAAUCCAGCGUUGUGAUCGAGAAAAAGAGGAGGCAGAGCUCCCGUGCAGCGGGCCACGAGACAGCCCACAUUCUGCGCUCAGCGAUUUCCUUCGUUUAGCCACAUGCAGGAUGCGGGCUCGUGCAUGAAGCUCCUCUGGUUUCCGUGAUGUGCCUGUGGUAAUAGCCACCUGGUGAUGUCACGCUCAGCCUUCAUCACUAGACGUGUCUGUGAAUGGACUGAACGUCCCCCCAGUAACGUUUUGUUUGUUUUUUCAUUGUCUUUGAAACGUGUUAGUGGUUUGGUUAAUCCUUGUGUUCAGGCCCGCAUCCUGCACACCUUCCAAUGCGGCGCAGUUUAAUGCAGUCAGCUAGAAAACAUCAAAUGUGGACAUUAUAUCCUACAGUUUGUGGAAGAUAGGCUGAGAUGGUUGAACAGUCAGCAAUACAUUGUACACAGUGGAAAGGACAACAAAGCUUCCCACAUUAAAGAGACCAUAAGUGACUCUGUGGAUUUGAUGUCAUCAGUUUCCUCUUUGCGGUGAUGAAAUGAAUCCCAUUACUGAUACAUACGGAGUUUUAUUUGGGAUUUUGAUACAGCAGUCGCAUGGCCUGUAUGUCAACAACUGAUGUAAGCUAAACUGUCCAAUGACAACUGUUUCCUUGAUAUUAGAGCAAUGAACCAGGGUAUAAAAUGUUGUCCUGCUCACCCAUGCGUUGAGAAAUGGUUUUCAGUAGGGCAUAAACUAUGCACAGUUUACUGUACUGAUCAAUGCUGCACUGUUACUGUGUUUAUUGUCUUCACUGCGUUGUGUUUGUUUACACUAAAUGUUGUUUGCACGCACUUUAUGUAGCGUCCUAGUUUGCGUCAUCUUGUGUUCAUUUAUGUAACUUUAUGUAGCAUCUUGUGCCUGGGAGAACGUUGUCUUGUCCUCUCUAAAUGGCUGAAAUGACAAUAAAAGCCAAAUUUUAUAUACUUAA